CGCGUAGGUGGUUGUGAUAGUCAGAUGUGAAAUCCUUUGGCUUAACUGAAGAACUGCAUCUGAAACUUCAUAACUCGAGUACAGGAGAGGGAAACGGAAUUCCCGGUGUAGAGGUGAAAUUCGUAGAUAUCGGGAGGAACACCAGUGGCGAAGGCGGUUUCCUGGCCUGAUACUGACACUGAGGCGCGAAAGCGUGGGGAGCAAACAG
rnacentral:rRNA from 1 species